rnacentral:rRNA from 1 species
CUUGGCGACCAUAGCGUUUUGGACCCACCUGAUUCCAUUCCGAACUCAGAAGUGAAACGAAAUAGCGCCGAUGGUAGUGUGGGGUUUCCCCAUG